CUUACAUUUAUUUCGAUAAAAAAAUUGCGUUAUAGACAAAUAAACAUCACUAAAGUAAGCUUUCCCAUAAAUUAUUUGACAAAUAAGUUUUAGCUACCUUGCCGUACAAGUUGCAGAAAACACGGUGAAGAUUAUCUUCGACAAUUAUUUAUAAUUCGAUAAAUAAGGGCAUAUAAAAGGAUCUAGGUGCGUGGUUUAAAUUCGCCGGCAUGAUUUUACACAGAAAUGUCAGAGAUAAAGUAUAAAAAUCAAAUUCUGGCUGCAAUAGAUCAUUUGCGCUCUCGAAAAUCGCGUCCAGAUGCAAACAGGAUUUGUAAGUUUAUGCUGAAGUGUUAUAAAGUACCACCAAAAGAUACAAAAGCAGAUCUAAAGCGUUGUUUAAAAAGAAAAAAGUAUAUUUAAAGUUGACUAUAAAGAUAAUGUAAGCUACAGGAACGCUGCGAAGUGGCGAAAAAAAUCCAACAAAAAUACUAGUAUGGCGUCUGCUAUUGGUACAAGUGAGCGUGUAGAAUCAUAACAUCAGCUAUAGCUACUCUAAUUUAUCAAGAUCAAAGUUACUUAGAAAAUGGGAUUGCAUUUGAGGAUCUUAUUAAAGCUGCAGCAUCACAAGAGUCAAAAUAUUCUAAGAAACAACUAGAAGUUAUCGUCAACAAGGAGUUGUCGUCUGGCAGCCUUGUAAAGUUGCAAAAUGGUAAUUUGGCUCUGGGUCCAGCUGAUCAUGAUGGUGAUAGUUCUGACAGUUUUAAAUUUGAAUGUGUGGAUUCCAAUACUAAGAUGACUUCUUCUGCAAACUCGUCAUGUAGAUCAUCCCCUCAAAGAAUGAGAGGCAGGCCCAAAAAACGUGGUGGUGGCGCUGGUAGCAGUGGACCUAGCAGUAGCACUACCAGGAAUGCCGGUGUAAGAGUAGGGGAAAGACGUAAAAUGGCCAAGAAAGUGUUUGAUCCAUCAGAUAACAAUGUACCCAGCAAAAGGAAACGAGGGAGACCAGUGGGUUCUUUAAAUAAAAGUACUAUUAAGAAGAGGCUGAUGAUUGCUGGUCAUAUAAAAGAAGAAGGUACAACAUUGUCAGAAAGUCAAUUAUCUUUUGAUGGGAGUGGUGAUGAAAUAGAACAGGAUGACUCCCUUCCACAUGAAGAGUCAGGGGGAGUGUGCUCUGUUUGUCGAAUUCAAAACCUCGAGGAUCAAAUGACAGAUUAAUAGAAUGCAGAGAUUGUAACAAUAAAGCACAUUUGCGUUGCCUACAAUCGGGUUCGGGAAUUCUAAAGCCUCGUCCAGACAACACGUGGCAAUGUCCACAUUGCAAGACAUGUGUUGUUUGUUGCGAAACAAAUGAUGCUGGUAUUCUCACGGUGUGCAGUAUAUGUUCAGACGCUUAUCACGCACUUUGUCACGCUCCUAGAAUACCAGAGAGACAUAUAGCCUGGGACCAGUGGGAGUGCCAUAACUGUCUAGAAUUCCGGCCGGCUGCAGUUGGCUCGCCUGCAAUAAUACCAAGGAAUAUUGAAUACAUAGCUCAAAACUCACCAUCUUUAGAUCCUUUCUUAAAACCACACGAAUUAGAUAGAGCACCAUCAAAGUUGUCAGAAGAUACUCCUAUAGAUCCAAAUAUACCUGAUAUAACAAAUUGGACUACAGAUGACGUGUUUCAAUAUUUUUCAAAACAUCAUCCUGAGGCUGCACCAAUAUUGAAAGAACAGGAAUUCGAUGGACCAGCUCUAUGUAUGGCACGCCGCGCCGACAUCGUUAGAGGGCUCGGGCUUCCCCUAGGACCAGCAUUAUCGUUAUAUAGUAUAGUAGUGAAACUACAGACAAGAAUAGAUGAUUGGACUAUGUGUUGGGGUUAAAAUAUAAUAUUGUAAGUGCUGAAAAUAGGAAUUCAUAGUGCCAGUGUGCAAUUCAUCUAUCAACUUUUGAAAUAAACUGGACAUCUUUUCAAAACCGUGGGAUAUCAAUAUAGUGGCUUAGAUAAUAUAUUCGAUAGACAGUUAUCUGUAUUUAGUUAUUCUAACCGAAAAAAUAAUGUUUUUGUAACCAGAUAUUAAAACCCUUAGACAAUAUAUAAA